GGACACUGUCAUCAAUACGGGGCUCAAACGUCUCCUUUGUUGGAGGAUAAUUAACUUCCAUGUUAACGAGAAUCCCGUUACAGGUCGACUUGGCCCAUCAUACGCCGGGGUUGAAAACAAACACAAGGACCACGUUGUGGAAAGUCAACAGUGGAGCUGCAGAGAUGAACAUGCUUGCUGUGCUGUGAACCUGGCGGUCUGACUUGGACUCCUGGCCAAGGAUGACAGCAGUGGAAACAGGGUUGCUGAUUGAUGGCCAAGGUUCUAAGCGUGUGUGGAAGCAAGCCUGGGUAACCCGAGGAGAGCCAUGCAUUCCGCUUCCUGUAAUGUGUGUAAUGUGUUCGCGUUACAAAUUGUUUGAAUUUUCAUCGUUUUUAAAUAACCCACAAAAUGUA